rnacentral:tRNA from 1 species
GCAGGAAGUCCUGCCGGCGCAGAACCGUUGCCCUCCGAAGGCAAAGGUCGCACGUUCGAAUCGUGUCAGGUGCG